UUAUGGCCAUAUCAUGUUGAAACACCGGUGCCCAAAUGAUCACUAAAGUUAAACAUGAAGUCUGGUUAAUACUUAGAUGUGUGACUGCUUGGGAAUGCCAGGUGCUGUAAG